CCUACGGGUGGCAGCAGUGGGGAAUAUUGCACAAUGGAGGGAACUCUGAUGCAGCGACGCCGCGGGAGUGAAGAAGUAAUUCGUUAUGUAAAGCUCUAUCAGCAGGGAAGAAAGUGACGGAACCUGAAAAAGAAGCUGCGGCUUAAUACGUGCCAGCAGCCGCGGUAAUACGUAUGGAGCAAGCGUUAUCCGGAUUUACUGGGUGUAAAGGGAGAGUAGGGGGCAGAGCACGUCCGCAGUGAAAACCCAAAGCUCCACUAUGUGACUGCUGUAGAAACUGCUCAGCUAGAGUGCAGGCGAGGCAAGUGGACUUCUUAGUGUAGCGGUGAAAUGCGUAGAUAUUA
rnacentral:rRNA from 1 species